rnacentral:snRNA from 1 species
GUGCUCACUUUGGCAGUACAGAUACUAAAAUUGGAAUGAUACAGAGAUUAGCAUGGCCUCUGAGCAAGGAUGACAUGCAAAUUCAUGAAGUAUUCCAUAUAAAA